rnacentral:rRNA from 1 species
AGCAGUAGCCGCGGGAAUACGUAGGUCCCGAGCGUUGUCCGGAUUUAUCGGGCAUAAAGCGAGCGCAGGCGGUUAGAUAAGUCUGAAGUUAAAGGCUGUGGCUUAACCAUAGUACGCUUUGGAAACUGUUUAACUUGAGUGCAAGAGGGGGGAGUGGAAUUCCAUGUGUAGCGGUGAAAUGCGUAGAUAUAUGGAGGAACACCGGUGGCGAAAGCGGCUCUCUGGCUUGUAACUGACGCUGAGGCUCGAAAGCGUGGGGAGCAAACAGGAUUAGAUACCCCCGUAGUCCCUGUCUCUUAUACA